UACGUAGGGGGCGAGCGUUGUCCGGAUUUAUUGGGCGUAAAGAGCGUGUAGGCGGCUUGGUAGGUCUGCUGUGAAAACUCGGGGCUCAACCCCGAGACGUCGGUGGAAACCACCUGGCUAGAGUCCGGAAGAGGAGAGUGGAAUUCCUGGUGUAGCGGUGAAAUGCGCAGAUAUCAGGAAGAACACCCGUGGCUAAGGCGGCUCUCUAGUACGGUACUGACGCUGAGACGCGAAAGCGUGGGGAGCGAACAGG
rnacentral:rRNA from 1 species